rnacentral:rRNA from 1 species
AACCUGCUACUUAAUCGAUAAUCCACGUUAAAUUUCACUAUUAUUUAUAUCUUAUAUACCUCCAUCAAAAGAACUUAUUUUUAUAAUAUUAUUCUAAAAAGUUAUUUCUAAAAAGUUAGGUAAAGGUGUAGACAAUUUAAUAGAUUAUAGUGGGUUACUAUAAAUUUUAUUUAAGGACAACAAAUGAAAAUUUUUAGAUAAAAAGGAUUUAUUAGUAAAAUUUAAAUAAUUAUUAAAUUUGAACAUUAAAAUAAAUGUGU